rnacentral:rRNA from 1 species
UGGGGAAUAUUGCACAAUGGGGGAAACCCUGAUGCAGCAACGCCGCGUGAGCGAAGAAGGCCUUUGGGUCGUAAAGCUCUGUCCUUGGGGAAGAAAAAUGACGGUACCCAAGGAGGAAGCCCCGGCUAACUACGUGCCAGCAGCCGCGGUAAUACGUAGGGGGCAAGCGUUGUCCGGAAUUAUUGGGCGUAAAGAGUAUGUAGGUGGUUUCUUAAGCGCAGGGUAUAAGGCAAUGGCUUAACCAUUGUUCGCCCCGUGAACUGAGAGACUUGAGUGCUGGAGAGGAAAGCGGAAUUCCUAGUGUAGCGGUGAAAUGCGUAGAUAUUAGGAGGAACACCAGUGGCGAAGGCGGCUUUCUGGACAGUAACUGACACUGAGAUACGAAAGCGUGGGGAGCAAACAGGAUUAGAUACCCUGGUAGU